rnacentral:rRNA from 1 species
UACGGAGGAUCCGAGCGUUAUCCGGAUUUAUUGGGUUUAAAGGGUGCGCAGGCGGGAGAUUAAGUCGGCGGUGAAAUUUUGCAGCUCAACUGUAAAAGUGCCUUCGAAACUGGUUUCCUUGAGUGUGGAUGAAGUAGGCGGAAUUUGUGGUGUAGCGGUGAAAUGCAUAGAUAUCACGAGGAACUCCGAUUGCGCAGGCAGCUUACUAAGCCAUAACUGACGCUCAGGCACGAAGGCGUGGGGAUCAAACAGGAUUAGAUACCCGUGUA